ensembl:misc_RNA Metazoa_SRP Metazoan signal recognition particle RNA
GCUCACCAGAUGUCUGCACUAAGUUCGGCAUCAAUAGUGUGACCUCCUAGGAUUGGGGGGCCACCAGGUUGCCUAAGGAUGGGUGAACUGGUCCAGGUCAGAAAGGGAGCAGGUCAGAACUGCCACACUGACAGUAGUGGGACUGUGCCUGGGC